ensembl:snRNA U6 U6 spliceosomal RNA
GUGCUCACUUUGACAGCACAUCUCCUAAAAUUCGAAAGAUACAGAGAAGAUUAGCAUGGCCCUGGUGCAAGGAUGACCUGCAAAUUCAUAACAAAUCUCCCAAUCUA